UGGCUUUGGUGAUGAUGAUGACACAUGUCUUCCUCCAGAAACAAUCAUGUGGGUUUUUCAGUCACUACCUCAUCUGAAUGGUCA